CGAGGCCCCCUAAAACCUAAUUGACAAAUCCGAGCCUUCAACCCAUCCUUGGAGUGGAAUCGUCGAGGUCGCGAUAGAGCAUCGGUCGUGGUAAUCGAAUUCCGGCAAUCUGGUUUCGUAGUGAGUAUUAGAGUUUAGACAGAAGAUUGGAGGUGUGACGGGGAGGAAGAUUCCGAUGGCGGACGGGGAAAACUAAAUUGGGCACGGCGUGCGACAAACGAACCAAGUCUGAUCGGAUUAAGUCCAGUAAGCCGAUCAUCUUCAUUGCGAGAGCAGAGAGCUGGGUCAUCUUCAUGCCGCAAAGUGCUGCCGUCAGCUGCGCCUCACCUUGCCCGAUCGGAUCUCCACCUCCCGACAAGAGCAAGGGAUAGGGGCUAUGCCGACUGCGGAUAAGUAUUACAGACCUUGUACCUAUAGUCUUGAAUUUCCUUGUAGAUCUUUCAGUCUUUAAUUUCUGGCUAAAAGUAUAUCCUAACUUCAACUCGAUCAAGAAAAUGGUUACUAUAUACUGAGGAAAUGUAAACGUAGAAGGUUGUUGCCAGAUAAUCUGGUAUGUGUUAACAACUUACUGACUUGGUUUGAUUGGAUGCAUGUAUAUGAGCAUGUUUCAUUUUGAGGAUUUAGUUCAUUUUGCUUGCUUCACAUAUAACAAUUGGAGGAGAUUAAUCUGCUGGAAGUACAAUGGAGGUUUUGCUGAUAUGCCGACCAACCAUUAAGGCAAAUACAACCUUAUAUAUAGAGGCUGCAAUUUCAGCAUUAUCAAGGGGUUAAGCAAACUGCACCUAAAGGGCAUCUUCAGGAAUGCUGGACCACAUUAUUGUGAAACAAGUGUUUGAAGCUACCCUUGAAGCAGAUAGCGGCUGUUUCAGUCAUGGAUUCACCUUACCAACUAAUCCGUUUGAUCCAAAUGUUGAUAAAAAGCAGAGGAUUUAUGCAGGCAAAGAGACUGCUGGAGGUUUAAAGGUGGUAGUUUGCAUAUGUAACUUGAUUGCUGGAAGAUCCCACUCCCUGCUGAAUUCGUUUUUGCAGAAGAGUCUUAGUUCAAUCACUAUUUGUUAAAACAAUUUUAUUCCUUUCAAAAAUAUAUGCAAUGUCAUUGUAUAAUAUAAUAAAGUAAGCUCAUGUUAAGGGUUUAAAAUAUUUAAGCAGACAAGAA